CUCCUAUGAGGAUCCUGGUGACUGUAUUUGGCUACCUGGAUAAUACAGAAUACUCUCCCCAUCUCUGAGAUUCUUAAUCCCAUCUGCAAGGUCUCCUUUGUUCUGUGACAUAUUCUAAGGUUCUGAGGAUUAGAUUAUGGACAUCUCUGGGAGAAGGAUAGAUAUUGAUCCUAUCAGAGAAGGCCUCUUAAGCACUAUGAUCUAUAUACUCUCAAAAAACCCAAGGAAUAUAGGGCUCUUGUUUUAGAAAUGGAACCUAAUAGUCUAAACAUAACUUCCUAAGUCUUAACAACAAAUCCUUGAGUAUAUGUAUUUUUACAUAGCAAUUCUAUAACCCAAAGACUGAAACACUCAAUUUCUAUAACUCAAGGAUUUCUGGACUAUUUCCUAAUGUAUAGACAUUAGAGUGGAUGAGGUGGAGAUGGCAAGUAGUAUUUCUCCAUUGCUAAAUGUUUUUUUAGAGAACAGUCCUAAAAGCUAUUCUUUUAAGAUCUUUCAAAAUCAUGCAACAGUCUAGAAAUAGCUCAGUUUAUCAAAGAUUAAUUACAUUCUCUCUCACAGGCUGAUGGAAAAUGCAUUGGAGUCUAAUCCAGAAUCACAGCCAGAAAUCUAGAGUCACAAGAAUUCACAAGUCCAUGAAUUUCACCAAGAUCCUUUUUUAUGCCCCUCCUCAAAUUCAUUCUUAUGAUGGCCUUUACGAUGGAAUAAUAAUUCAGUCUUGGAACCAAUAAGAAACACUACUGAAUUUGUCAGGAGUCCACAUUUGCAAGUAGAAUAAACCCAGCUCAAAUCAAUUUCA
rnacentral:lncRNA from 1 species